rnacentral:tRNA from 2 species
CGCGGGGUGGAGCAGCCCGGUAGCUCGUCAGGCUCAUAACCUGAAGGCCGCAGGUUCAAAUCCUGCCCCCGCA